rfam:Myotis brandtii contig207336, whole genome shotgun sequence.
CGUGCACUGGUGGGGUCCUUCGGCCUGGCCUGCGGGGAUCAGACCGAAACCGGCUCUCCAACAUCUCCUGAGGGGUCCCGAAUUGCAGGCCAGGCCGAGGGACCCCACCGGUGCACG